AUUGAACGCUGGCGGCAUGCCUUACACAUGCAAGUCGAACGGUAACAGGUCUUCGGAUGCUGACGAGUGGCGAACGGGUGAGUAAUACAUCGGAACGUGCCUAGUAGUGGGGGAUAACUACUCGAAAGAGUGGCUAAUACCGCAUGAGAUCUACGGAUGAAAGCAGGGGAUCGCAAGACCUUGUGCUACUAGAGCGGCCGAUGGCAGAUUAGGUAGUUGGUGGGAUAAAAGCUUACCAAGCCGACGAUCUGUAGCUGGUCUGAGAGGACGAUCAGCCACACUGGGACUGAGACACGGCCCAGACUCCGACGGGAGGCAGCAGUGGGGAAUUUUGGACAAUGGGGGCAAGCCUGAUCCAGCAAUGCCGCGUGCAGGAUGAAGGCCUUCGGGUUGUAAACUGCUUUUGUACGGAACGAAAAGCCCUGGGUUAAUACCCUGGGGUCAUGACGGUACCGUAAGAAUAAGCACCGGCUAACUACGUGCCAGCCGCCGCGGUAAAAC
rnacentral:rRNA from 1 species